UCGAGAAUCUUCGGCAAUGCGCGAAAGCGUGACCGAGCAAUGCCGCGUGCGGGAUGAAGGCCCUCGGGUUGUAAACCGCGAAAGUAAGGAGGAAGGCUCCGUGAAGAGCGGAGUUUGACCAAUUUACAGUAAGGACGGGCUAAGUUCGUGCCAGCAGCCGCGGUAAGACGAACCGUCCAAACGUUAUUCGGAAUUAUUGGGCUUAAAGGGUGCGUAGGCGGCGCUGUAAGUCAGGUGUGAAAUCCCACGGCUCAACCGUGGAACUGCGCUUGAUACUGCAGUGCUUGAGGGAGACAGAGGUAAGCGGAACUGAUGGUGGAGCGGUGAAAUGCGUUGAUAUCAUCAGGAACACCAGUGGCGAAAGCGGCUUACUGGGUCUCUUCUGACGCUGAGGCACGAAAGCUAGGGUAGCGAACGGGAUUAGAUACCCCCGUAGUCC
rnacentral:rRNA from 1 species